CCUAGAAAAUACUGACACCUACUUCUUUGUUUCUGCCGAAAUCGCUCAUCGCCUAUUCCCAAAUCGCGUUGCCUCUUCUUCCUCUCCACCUUACGAUCUCCGACCAGCCUCAUCAUUGGGCUCUGAGAUCCGGCUAGGUGCCACCUCAUGCGGGUGACUCUCUGGGGAUGACGCGAACAGACGCCGAACCCCGCAACCUUCUCAAUUGACGGCACUACUUUCGGAGGAACGAGGAAGAAAAGGAAAGUACUUCUAUUAUAUGGGCAUGGCUUCUGUGAGGUGAGGAUGUCUCCUAGGAAAUGACGGAAGGCCUACGGACGGAGUAGAUGAGAAGACGGAAUGGACGCGUGACAUUGUCCGGGCAUUUUAGGAGUGCACAGCUUACUUGUCCUAUUGUGAGAGGUUCUUAUGUUUGAGGAUUCAUUGACUCUUUCUAUUAAACUCUUGUUUGAGAAGCUAUCAUUACAUGGAAUAAGCUAGAUCAUUUCGAUAGAAUUGUAUUACGGUUAUCUACAUUGCAGAUGUUGAGAGUGUUUGUAAAAAAAAAAAAAAAAAAAUCUGAGGGGUAACUUGGGGAUGUUUCAGUUGCUAUCAGAGCAGACACUCCUAAAGGAUAGUGUGCGCACGCCAUCUCGCCAAGAACUCGGCUACUCCUGCCUUCAGACUCAUGAUGCCUACGUUACAAGUGAAGAUGUCUCCCAGGAAAUGACAGAAGGCCUACGGACGAAGUAGACAAGAAGACGGAAUGGACGCGUGACACUGUCCGGGCAUUUUAGGAGUGCAAAGCUUACUUGUCCUAUUGUGAGUUGUUCUUAUGUUUGAGGAUUCAUUGACUCUUUCUAUUAAACUCUUGUUUGAGAAGCUAUUAUUACAUGGAAUAAGCUAUAUCAUUUCAAUAGAAUUGUAUUACGGUUAUCUACAUUGCAGAUGUCGAGAGUGUUUGUAAAAAAAAAACAUUGAGGGGUAACU